rnacentral:pre_miRNA from 1 species
AGCUUUUUGAAUCCGUGCUGAGAUUUCGUCAAACAUCAACACAUUAGGGCUCGUCAGACUUCCAAGAUAAGUGAAGCU